UCGAACCCGGAGAUAGCUGGUUCUCCUCGAAAUAGCUUUAGGGCUAGCCUCGGUGUGAGUCUUGCGGAGGUAGAGCACUGAAUUUCCUAGGGGGCGUCAAAGCCUACCGAAGAAUAUCAAACUCCGAAUGCCGUGUAGAUAUCACCGGGAGUCAGACUGCACGAGAUAAGUUGGGCGGUCAAAAGGGAAAGAGCCCAGACCUUCAGUUAAGGUCCCCAAGUGCGCGUUAAGUGGAAAAGGAUGUGGGAUUUCGAAGACAACCAGGAUGUUGGCUCAGAAGCAGCCAUCCAUUCAAAGAGUGCGUAAUAGCUCACUGGUCGAGAGGUCCUGCGCCGAAAAUGUCCGGGGCUGAAACGCGCCACCGAAACUAAGGAACCGAAAGGUUGGUAGAGGAGCAUUGCAUGCGGGAAGAAGCAGUACCGUAAGGAGCUGUGGACUGCAUGGAAGAGAGAAUGCCGGAAUGAGUAGCGAGAUAGAGGUGGGAAUCCUCUAGGCCGAAUAUCCAAGGUUUCCAGGGUAAAGCUGAUCUGCCCUGGGUAAGUCGGGGCCUAAGGCGAGGACGAGAGUCGUAGCCGAUGGACAACAGGUGGAGAUUCCUGUACUGCGGUAUGACAGAACUGUGGGGACACGUAAGGAAAGCGGAAGCCGGGAAUGGAAAGCCCGGUGCAAGCGGGGUACCAGUCACUUUGGCAAAUCCGGGUGGCAAUGGGAAGCCGUGAUGCGGAGCGAAAUAAAGUAGCGAAGUCCGUGAGCCAUGCGUCAAGAAAAGCCGCUAUUGUUUAUACCGUACCCGUACCGUAAACCGACACAGGUGGAUGAGGAGAGAAUCCUAAGGCCGGCGGAAGAAGCAUUGUUAAGGAACUCGGCAAAAUGACCCCGUAACUUCGGGAGAAGGGGUGCCUGCGAGAGCAGGCCGCAGAGAAUAGGCUCAAGCAACUGUUUAGCAAAAACACAGGUCUAUGCGAAACCGAAAGGUGAGGUAUAUGGGCUGACGCCUGCCCGGUGCUGGAAGGUUAAGAGGAGAGGUUAGCGCAAGCGAAGCUUUGAAUUUAAGCCCCAGUAAACGGCGGCCGUAACUAUAACGGUCCUAAGGUAGCGAAAUUCCUUGUCGGGUAAGUUCCGACCCGCACGAAAGGCGUAAUGAUUUGAGCGCUGUCUCGACAAUGCAUCCGGUGAAAUUGAAGUACCAGUGAAGAUGCUGGUUACCUGCGCCAGGACGGAAAGACCCCAUGGAGCUUUACUCCA
rnacentral:rRNA from 1 species